GACGAACGCUGGCGGCGUGCUUAACACAUGCAAGUCGAACGGAAAGGCCCUGCUUUUGUGGGGUGCUCGAGUGGCGAACGGGUGCGUAACACGUGAGUAACCUGCCCUUGACUUUGGGAUAACUUCAGGAAACUGGGGCUAAUACCGGAUAGGAGCUCCUGCUGCAUGGUGGGGGUUGGAAAGUUUCGGCGGUUGGGGAUGGACUCGCGGCUUAUCAGCUUGUUGGUGGGGUAGUGGCUUACCAAGGCUUUGACGGGUAGCCGGCCUGAGAGGGUGACCGGCCACAUUGGGACUGGGAUACGGCCCAGACUCCUACGGGAGGCAGCAGUGGGGAAUAUUGCACAAUGGGCGGAAGCCUGAUGCAGCAACGCCGCGUGCGGGAUGACGGCCUUCGGGUUGUAAACCGCUUUCGCCUGUGACGAAGCGUGAGUGACGGUAAUGGGUAAAGAAGCACCGGCUAACUACGUG
rnacentral:rRNA from 1 species